rnacentral:rRNA from 1 species
UACAGAGGGCGCGAGCGUUGUCCGGAAUCACUGGGCAUAAAGGGCGCGUAGGCGGCUUUCUAAGUCAGGGGUGAAAUCCGGCAGCUCAGCUGUCGCAGUGCCUUUGAUACUGGAGAGCUCGAGGGAGGUAGGGGUCUGUGGAACUUCCGGUAGAGCGGUGAAAUGCGUUGAUAUCGGAAGGAACGCCGGUGGCGAAAGCGACGGACUGGAUCUCUACUGACGCUGAGGCGCGAAAGCCAGGGGAGCAAACGGG